UGUGGUAUGUGAGUGUUGUGUCGUGUGUUGUGUGUGUGUUGUGUGUGUCGUGUGUCCUGUGUGUUGGGUCAUGUGUUGUGUGUGGCGCAUCUGUGUGUGUGUGUGGUGUGUCUGUUGUGUGUGUAGUGUGUUGUCAUGUGUUGUGUCACAUGUGUUGUGUGGUGUGUCAUGUGUUGUGUCGUGUGUGUUGUGUGUUAUAUGUGUCGUGUGGUGUGUGUUGUGUGUUGUGUAUGAUGUGUCCUAUGGUGUCUGUUGUGUGUAGUGUGUGAUGUGUAUUGUGUGGUGUAUGUGUGGUGUGCCUGUUGUGUAUGUGUGGUGUGCCUGUUGUAUUGUGUCGUGUGUUGUGUUGUGUGUGUGUUGUGUGUUGUGUCAUGUAUGUGAUGUGUGUUAUGUGCGUCGUGUGUCGUGUCAUGUGUGGUGUGUCAUCUGUUGUGUGCUGUGUGUGUCAUGUGUGUUGUGUGUUGUGUUGUGUGUGGUGUGAUGUGUGUCAU
rnacentral:lncRNA from 1 species